UACGGAGGGGGCAAGCGUUGUUCGGAAUUACUGGGCGUAAAGGGCGCGCAGGCGGCUGCUCAAGUCAGGCGUGAAAGGCCUGGGCUCAACCCGGGAAUUGCGCUUGAGACUGGGCUGGCUUGAGUGCGGGAGAGGAUGGUGGAAUUCCCAGUGUAGAGGUGAAAUUCGUAGAUAUCUGGAGGAACAUCGGUGGCGAAGGCGGCAUCCUGGACCGGUAUUGACGCUGAGGCGCGAAAGCCAGGGGAGCAAACGGG
rnacentral:rRNA from 1 species